UCGGGAAUAUUGCGCAAUGGAGGAAACUCUGACGCAGUGACGCCGCGUGCAGGAAGAAGGUUUUCGGAUUGUAAACUGCUUUAGACAGGGAAGAAACAAAUGACUGUACCUGUAGAAUAAGCUCCGGCUAACUACGUGCC
rnacentral:rRNA from 1 species